GGGGGGGGGGGGGGGGGGGGGUAGGGGGGGCGGGUCGAGGGAGCAGAGGGGGGGGUGGCUCCUGUGACGUGAGCGGCGGACGGGUGAGUAGCAAGUGGGUAACCGACCGAGAAGACUGGGGUAAGUUCGGGAAACCGGAGCUAAUACCGGAUACUAUAUUGAACCGCAUGGUUCAAUAGUGAAAGAGGGUUUUGCUGUCACUUCUAGAUGGAUCCACGCCGCAUUUGCUAGUUGGUAAGGUAACGGCUUACCAAGGCGCCGAUGCGUAGCCGACCUGCGAGGGUGAUCGCGCACACUGGAACUGAGACGCGGUCCAGACUCCUACGAGAGGGAGCAGUAGGGACUCUUCCGCAAUGGGCGAAAGCCUGACGGAGCAACGCCACGUGAGUGAUGAAGGUCUUCGGAUCGUAAAACUCUGUUAGUAGUGAAGAACAAAUGUGUAAGUAACUAUGCACGUCUUGACGGUACCUAAUCAGAAAGCCACGGCUAACUACGUG
rnacentral:rRNA from 1 species